GAUGAACGCUGGCGGCGUUCCUAAUACAUGCAAGUCGAGCGAACGGACGAGAAGCUUGCUUCUCUGAUGUUAGCGGCGGACGGGUGAGUAACACGUGGAUAACCUACCUAUAAGACUGGGAUAACUUCGGGAAACCGGAGCUAAUACCGGAUAAUAUUUUGAACCGCAUGGUUCAAAAGUGAAAGACGGUCUUGCUGUCACUUAUAGAUGGAUCCGCGCUGCAUUAGCUAGUUGGUAAGGUAACGGCUUACCAAGGCAACGAUGCAUAGCCGACCUGAGAGGGUGAUCGGCCACACUGGAACUGAGACACGGUCCAGACUCCUACGGGAGGCAGCAGUAGGGAAUCUUCCGCAAUGGGCGAAAGCCUGACGGAGCAACGCCGCGUGAGUGAUGAAGGUCUUCGGAUCGUAAAACUCUGUUAUUAGGGAAGAACAUAUGUGUAAGUAACUGUGCACAUCUUGACGGUACCUAAUCAGAAAGCCACGGCUAACUACGUG
rnacentral:rRNA from 1 species